UGUCGCUGUGACCUAAAUAUCCGGUGUACGAAAUGAAAGAAAUCGACGUGUUUUUCCUCUGAACCAUGAAACUGAAGUAUGUGUGAAAGACGAAUACACCAUAACGUACAUUUAUUGAUUUAACGAAAGUAAGUGCAUAUAGGAACAGUCAGUGUGUAGUGACAGACAAUGUGUCUUUGAUGUUAUAUUUCCACUAUUAUUCAUAAUUUCGUGGGAAGUAUGUACAGUGAUUAGCACAAAAUGUGUUUUAUUGGUUAUAUUGGUAGAGAAUGAAUUAGAUUUUAUGACUGCAUAUUU